GUUUGAUCCUGGCUCAGGAUAAACGCUGGCGGCGUGCCUAAAACAUGCAAGUCGAACGGCUCACUUCGGUGGGUAGUGGCGAACGGCUGAGUAACACGUGGGUGACCUGCCUUCGAACGGGGGAUAACUGCCCGAAAGGGUGGCUAAUACCGCAGAUGUCUGUGCUUCGGUGUGCAGACUGAACUUGAGGGGUUCGGAGAGGGGCCUGCGUCCGAUUAGCUAGCUGGUGGGGUAACGGCCUACCAGGGCGACGAUCGGUAGCUGGUCUGAGAGGAUGAUCAGCCAGACUGGGACUGCGAACGGCCCAGACUCCUACGGGAGGCAGCAGUUAGGAAUUUUGGGCAAUGGGCGAAAGCCUGACCCAGCAACGCCGCGUGGGUGAUGAAGGCCCUCGGGUCGUAAAGCCCUUUUCCAGGGGAAGAUAGUGACGGUACCCUGGGAAUCAGCCCCGGCUAACUACGUGCCAGCAGCCGCGGUAAU
rnacentral:rRNA from 1 species